rnacentral:rRNA from 1 species
GACGUAGGUGGCAAGCGUUGUCCGGAUUUACUGGGCGUAAAGGGCGUGCAGGCGGUUUGUUAAGUCUAGGGUGAAAGCUCCCGGCUCAACUGGGAGAGGUCCUUGGAUACUGGCAGACUUGAGGAGGGUAGAGGAGAGUGGAAUUCCCGGUGUAGUGGUGAUAUGCGUAGAUAUCGGGAGGAACACCAGUGGCGAAGGCGGCUCUCUGGGCCCUACCUGACGCUGAGACGCGAAAGCGUGGGGAGCGAACCGG